GAGCCUGCCACCAGGUCAGACAUGCUGAGUCUUUUCCGGUAAGACACCACCUCGUGGUGCUACACAGAUUAUUAGAAAUGGGUUAAUCAAGAUGUGAGAAUUAACCAGUAAGAGGCUAGAGCUAAUGGGGCAGGUAGUGUUUAAAUGAAUACAAUUUGUGUGUUGUUAUUUCCGGGGCUAAGCUAGCCGAGUGGGAGUCGGGCCAGAUGAAAAGCAGGCCUGCCCGCUCUCGUCACUACAAGGAUUACACCUGUAAUCCUAGCACUCAAAAAGGUGAAGCAAGAGGAGCACCACAGACCCAGGGUGAGAUCUUGCUUCAAAAAAGAAUAAUUAAUUUUAGAAAAGUUUAAACUGAAAGAAGAGGUCCUCAGAUCACACAAACUAGAAAGUAAGGGCAGAGGAGAUGGCCCCGAGGGUAAAGGAGCCCACGGUCAGUCCAAGGAGUCAACUCCCAAGUUGUCCUCUGACUGACACACAAACACAGAAAUAAAUGCAAUAUAAACAUAUUUCCAGCCAGGCAGUGGCUGUGCACACCUUUAAUCCCAGCACUCGGGAGACUGAGGUGAAUGGAUCAAGGCCAGCCUGGUCUGCAGAGUGAGUUCCAGGGCUACACAGAGAAAUCCUGUCUCAACAUGACAAAAGUGUGUGUGUGUGAAAAUAAGUUGCCAAGACCAUGCAAUGGUGCGUGCUUGUAUUCCAAACACUGAAGAAGUAGAUGAAGGGUUUCAAGGUCAGCUUCAGCUACAUACUAAAUUCAGGGCCAACCUGGGCUACAUGAAACAAAUGUCUCCAACACUCAUUGUCUAAGAGUCAAGAUAGCAAAAGACAAAACAAUACUAACAAUUAAAUCACAAUGAGAGAUGAGCCAGAGGCCUGCACAAGCUGCUGGGAGAAGCCUUCAAGCACCUGGAGGUGAGGACAUAGGGGAGAUGUGGCUAUUCACCAGAUGAGUUCACAACACAGAGCAUGAUGGUAGGGGACACUGAGGUCUGCAAGACCAUCAGUGUGGGGUGAGAAUGUGCAGCUCAGGAGGACUGGAGCAGAGCACACAGGGCAGGUGGACAGGAGAGUCAGAUCUCGUGGGGCUCUGGAGACUGGAUAUUGUUUGUGCCUGGGAACUGGAGUUUCAGUCCUCGGAAUGAAGGGGGUCUUCGAAUGCCUCUUUGAGCAGAUUAUCCAAACGUUCUCCCACCUGCCCUUCAGGACGUUCAUGCUGCAGGACUUACAAGAAGCGAACUGGGUAGAUCAUUCAGAAGCAAUUGCAGGAAUGCAGGAGAAUUAAUGGGAUUCAAACCAGGGCAGUAGCAGUGGAGAUAUAAGGAAGGGGACACGGGAGAGGAAAGGCUCGGAGCCUGGGAGGAUAUCGGGUGCCCUGGAACAGGGAGGAAGCGAUGGUCCACAUUCCCCCAAGACGAGGCACAAGGAAGAGGAGGCGUGCAGGAGACAGUUUUCUUGGAGCCAGGUAGACUUGAGGGGCCUGUGGUAGGUCCAAGAGGAGCUGUCUAGCCUUUGUUUGGACACAGCCACAGCACAGGAAGAUCGUCCAGUGAGCUGAGUGCUGAUAGCAGAGCCCAGGAAAUCCGCCCUUGAAGUAGCAGGCUCAAAGAAGAAAGAGAGCAGUGAACAGCUAAGAGAAGUCAGAGACUUGGGGCACCUAGACGGAGAGGAGCCUGGGUAGUCGGUGAAGCCGUCUUCGAAGUCGGACUUGGGCCAUUCAUUGUUUGCAGAGUAUGUCCCACCUCAGAGCUCAGUUUACGCUCUCAAUAACAGUGUAAACAGAAAUCAUCCCGAGAAACUAGGCUCAGAUAACAGCAGACUACAGACUCACUACUAAUUAACCCAAGAAUUGAACCUUGUUCCCAAACGUUCUGACCAAAGCCAGGCCCUUCUCUUUCCUCUGUCCAUCAAGUUUUCCCUACCUUCUGGGACCCCGCAGAGGCAGCGGUUCCCAGAACCCCGGAGGCAGCAUACUUAGGUGGGAAGCCCCUCUGCAUGCCUGCUCGCACAGCCUCUCCGUCUUGUGUCUUAGCUUUUCGCUGCUCUGAAUUCUCCUCGUUCAAACCCUAGCUGGAGUCUUCCUUCAGUGUCCCUGAAGAGUCCAGCUAGAACUAACAUUUCCCUUUUCUAAAUUCCUGAGGCCAACGCAGUUCCAGAGGACUCCUGAUGAGUCACGCGCUUGUGUAACUCCCUCCCUCAGAGCAAGACUGGCCCUUCUGGCGUUUGGAAGGCUAAGAGCCACCUAGGAGGAAAGCCACACAUGUGAAGCCUCAGAGAACUCCAGGACCCGAGCGGCUCUUGGGGACAGCACAAAUAAAGGACCCGGGUUUGAUGGACAGCACCCACGUAGUGCCCCAUAACCAUCUAUAACCCCAGUUCCAGAGGAUCCCACACCUUCUUCUGACAUCCAAGGGCUCCAGACAUGAGAAUGCUGUACAGACAGACCUACAGGAGAAUCUCAGAUACAGGAAGGAAAGCAAGCAAGCUUUCUUUAGUGUUCUCCUGUCUCACACCUAAUAUGCCAACCCAACCGUUGACAAAAUAAAGCAAACAAACACACAAAAACAACUACCAUGACUAGGCUUUUUGAGUUUUUUUUUCUUGGGGUUUGUUUGGUUGUUUGGUGUUUUGAGAUAAGGUUUCUCUGUGUAGCUUUGGAACCUGUCCUGGAACUUGCUCUGUAGACCAGGCUGGCCUCAAACUUGCAAAGAUCCCCCUGCCUCUGCCUCCCAAGUGCUGGGAUUAAAAGUGUGCACCACCAUCACCUGGCUUUACCACGGCUAGUUUUAGUCAAGACUUUCUUCUGGGACUUAGAGAAGACCUGUCACUGUAUAGUACAGCUUCCAGUGAGUACCAGAGUCGAAUUGAAGCUCUGCAAAUACAAAGGGUGACGGCAAGAAGGGUGGAUUUGGGUAAGCUGCCACAUGGUGCCACCUCAUCUUCAUGUAGAAGUUUCAAAAAACAAAAAGAAUUUACAGGACACUUACAAAAAAUAGCUUAAUUUUUAAAAAUGAAGUACAUGCUACAACAGGGUAGCUUUGCUCAAGCUCAAGUCGACUUCCUGUUGCCUCUGAGUCAAGAUGUAAGGACUGUCAGCUCCAGCACCACAUCUGCCUGCAUGCCACCAUGCUCCCUGAUGUGAUGAUAAUGGACAGAGCCUUUGAAACUGUAAGCAAGCCACCCCAAUUAAAUGUUUCCUUUAUAAGAGGUGCCAAGGUCAUGGUGUCUCUUCACAGCAAUAAAAACCCUAAGACAGAAAUUGGUACCAGAAGUGGGGUACAGCUGUGAUAGGCCUGACCAUGUGUUUGUUUAGUGGAAUUUGGAUUUCGGUACUUUUGGGAAAGUAGUGGAAUGUUUUAAGUGCUGCUUAAUGGGCCAUAUUAGUAGGAGCAUGGAAGACAGUGGCGCUGAUAAUGAUUUGAAGUGUCAGGAGCUGGCUCAAGAGGUUUCAGAGGAGAAUUUUAGUAUGUUGCCUAGAAACCGUUUUUGUGAUAUUUGGGUGAAGAUAAUGACUGCCUUUUGCCCUUGUACAAGUCUGACUGUGGCUAAAGUGAAGAGUCUUAGAUUAAUUUCCAUGGAAGAAGAAAUCUCAAAACAGCUCAGUAUAUCUCUGUCGUGUGGUUUUAGUGGUAACUCUAACUAAGUAGAACCAGCUGAGCAGGGUAAACUACAAGAUGUAAAUUUUAAGGAGAAAAAGUAGAAUGGUUCAAGGAGAUAAACAGACAAAAUGAAAUACAGGGAAUGGUGGCCUAAAGGCCAGAUCCCACCCAGGUAAACUUCUAACUUGUGGGAUGGAAUAUAGAAGAGUUUGGAGCCAGGUGUGUUGGCACACCUUUAACCCCAGCGCUAGGAAGGCAGAGGCUGGCAGAUCUCUGAGUUUGAAGACUGCCUGGUCUAAAUAGCAAGUUCAAGGACAGCCAGGCUUAGGCAGUGAGGGACAAAAGAAAGUUGUGAAGAUGUAGCUAAACAGUCCCAGCAAGCAGUAGAACUUGGCAGCUUCAGCCAUGUGGUUCCGACUUUAGAGUUAAAGACAGAGAAAGGAAUUAUGGAAUAAAGUUAAAGGUCAGGCACUGUCAGUGGUAUCCUUGAAUGGAGGCCUAACAGAGAGGCCAUUUUGUGAAACUGUGAAGGGGAAGCCUGGAUCACCUGGGAGAACCUAAGAUGUUAGAGAUUCCCAUUGUGGGAUACCUGCCGAGAAGAGCUGCUAACAGGAAGUGGAAACAGCUCAAGGGAAAGAAGUGUGUACCAGGAUAGGCACCAAAGCUACCCAGAGAAACUCUGUCUCAAAAAUAAACAAAUAAGUAAAUAAAAUUAGAGAGCCUUUAUCAGAAGACAGAGGCAGGUGGAGCUCAAUAAGUUUGAACCAGCCUGGUCUACAUAGCAAAAUUCAGGACAACCUGGGUUGCACAGAGAAAGCAGUGAAAAUAUCCAGACCUAAAGCGAAAAAAAUAAUUGCUAAACUUGAAAACUGUGUUAGUUCGUGGUUGUUUCUAACAGCCAUUUAUGCUGAAUUUCACCCACCUUUAUCUGAGAAUGAUAACUGUUUACCAGCAUCAACCAUUGCUUGUUUUCCACCUUGUGCCAUCUUCCCCUUUACUCAGAUCCUCAGUUGGGUUUCAUGGGCUUUCUAAUGUCUUAUUUAUUUAUUUAUUUAUUUAUUUAUUUAUUUAUUUAUUGGUUUUCCAGACAAGGUUUCUUUGUGAAACAGCUCUUGCUGUUCUAGAACUCGCUCUGUAGACCAAGUUGGCCUCAAACUCACAGAGACCCACCUGCCUCUGCCUCCUAAGUGCUAGAAUUAAAGACUUGUGCCACUAUGCCCAGCCUUAUUUAUUCUUUUAAUGUAUUUACUGGCAGAGUUUCUCUGUUUAGACCUGGCUGGCCUGGAACUGACUGUGUAGACCAGGUUGAUCUCAAACUCAUGUUGAACCUCCUACCUCUGCCUCUUGAGUGCUAGGAUGCGGUGGUUUGAAUGAAAAUGGUCCCCAGAAACUCCUAUGUUUAAAUACUUGGUCCCCAGUUGGUGGAACUGUUUGGGAAAGAUUAGGAGGUGUGGCUUUGUUAGAGGAAGUGAGUCACUGGGGGUGGGCUUUGAGAUUUUAAAAGGCUAUUAGUUCCUAGUUCUCUCUCCGCCUUGAGGUUGUGUCUCAAGAGUGCUCACUGGAUGGUGGUGGUGCAUGCCUUUAAUCCCAACACUGGGAGGCAGAGACAGGAGGAUCUCUGUCAGUCCAAGGCCAUUCUGGUCUACAGAGUGAGUGCCAGGGCAGUCAGGGCUACACAGAGAAACCGUAUCUCAAAAAAUGAAACAAAAAACAAGAUGUAAGCUCUCAGCUAUUGUACCAGUGCUGGUGUAGGAGGUCCUUCUGUUUAUGUGUUGCUUUCAUUGGUUGACUAAAGAAACUGCCUUGACCUUUUGAUAGGGCAGAACUUAGGUAGGCAGAGUAGACAGAAUUGAAUGCUGGGAAGAAGGGCAGACAGAGAGCCAACAUGGAGCCGUCAGGUCAGACAUGCUGAAUCUUUCUUGGUAAGCCACAACCUCAUGGUGAUAUACAAAUUACUAGAAAUGGGUUAAAUCAAGAUGUGAGAGUUAGCCAAUAAGAGGCUAGAGAUAAUGGGCCAGGCAGUGAUUUAAUCAAUACAAUUUCUGUGUGGUUAUUUCGGGUGUAAGCUAGCAGGGCGGUCGGGAGCAAAAGCAGGCCCUCUCUCCUUGUAACACAUCGCCAAGCCCGCCUGCCUGCUGCCCUGCUCUCCACUAUGAUGGUCAUGGACUCCAACCCUCUGAAAC